AUUGAACGCUGGCGGCAGGCCUAACACAUGCAAGUCGAACGAGUGGCGGACGGGUGAGUAAUGUCUGGGAAACUGCCUGAGGGAGGGGGAUAACGACUGAAAACGGUAGCUAAUAGCGCAUACCAUCGGAGGUGCCCAGAGGGGAUUAGCUAGUGGGUGGGGUAACGGCUCACCUAGGCGACGAUCCCUAGCUGGUCUGUGAGGAUGACCAGCCACCCUGGAACUGCGACACGGUCCAGACUCCUACGGGAGGCAACAGUGUGGAAUAUUGCACAAUGGGCGCAAGCCUGAUGCAGCCAUGCCCCGUGUAUGACGAAGGCCUUCGGGUUCUCAAGUACUUUCAGCGGGGAUGCGUUACACGCCGAAGAAGCACAGGCUAACUCCGUGCCAGCUGCCGCGGUAGUUC
rnacentral:rRNA from 1 species